UUACGGCCACAUCAGUUGAAACACUGGUACCCAUAUGAUCAAUGAAGUUAAGCAACAUUGAGCCUGGUCAGUACCUAGAUAGGUGACUGCUUGGGAAUACCAGGUGCUGUAAG